rnacentral:misc_RNA from 1 species
GGAUUAGAAAGAAAAAUUUUUUGCCCAUAGGAUUUGCAUGUCUGUCUUCUAUAAUGAUUUUUAAAUUUCUUUUUAAUUUGAUUUGCAAAGUUGCUAUAUUUAGCUUCUCUCUCUGAGUGUAAUGAUCCUGUUGUAGUGGUUCAAAUUUCAAACACAAUGUCACUACGAAGUACAUUUUUCCCCCUUUUUCCUUUCUAUGCUUGGUUUUUUUAGUCUAAGUAGAGAUUGGCACUAAGCUUGAGUAACCGGUCCUUGAAAAAAAUGCCAUUUUUUGCAUUUUAGGCGUUUCUGUGAAAAGCCCCAAUUUUUAGCUGUCUUCUAUCAUGUACUUGUAGUUAAGAG